GGUUGCAGCUUAGUGGUAGAAUGCUUGUCUAGCAAGUAUGAGGCCCUGGGUUUGAUCCCCAGCACCA
rnacentral:tRNA from 1 species